rnacentral:rRNA from 1 species
UACGUAGGGUCCGAGCGUUGUCCGGAUUCACUGGGCGUAAAGGGUGCGCAGGCGGCCAAGUGUGUGAGGCGUGAAAGCCCGGGGCUUAACCCCGGAAUUGCACCUCAAACUACAUGGCUAGAGCAUUGGAGAGGGUAGCAGAAUUCAUGGUGUAGCAGUGAAAUGCGUAGAUAUCAUGAGGAAUACCAGAGGCGAAGGCGGCUACCUGGACAAUUGCUGACGCUCAGGCACGAAAGCGUGGGGAGCAAAAGGG